AAUAAUAACUUGGGUCACUAUUUCGAGCGUUCUAAAUCGGUGCGAAUCAUGCGAGAAUUCGGUAGCGUUAGUACUGAAGGCUGUAGCAUCGCUAUUAGUUCUUCUACGAGUCCCUUUGGCUUUAAAACAGUCGGCUUAACACCUUGAGCAUUAAAGCUAUCAAAUUCUUCCACUGCUGUGCUUUAAACCCAGAAAAGCGUUUUUCCAACAACUUAUAAUGUCGAAAAUAUAAGAGCAUUUUCAUCACUGUAAUAUGAGAAACUUAGAAAA